AGCUCCAUAAGCUCUCUAGCAA
rnacentral:snRNA from 1 species